AUAUCUUUCUCAGCCUUUUGACUAAGAUAAAAUGUAAUAUUUGUUCUUAUCAGUUUAAUAUCUUGUAUGGGACUAUAUGUUCACUUCGAUAUUAAAUUUUAUUUUUAUGGGAAAGGUCCACCACAUUGGCUUACUAGGUUCUCGCGUGUCAUUUGACCGUUGCACUACUGGUAGCGCCAGACCUACCCAAC
rfam:Zea mays cultivar B73 chromosome 10, whole genome shotgun sequence.